UACAGAGGUGCCAAGCGUUAGGCGGAAUCACUGGGCUUAAAGCGCGCGUAGGCGGAUGUUUAAGUGUCUUGUGAAAUCCCACGGCUCAACCGUGGAACUGCUGGGCAUACUGGACAUCUCGAGGCACUCAGGGGCGAGCGGAACAAGUGGUGGAGCGGUGAAAUGCGAAGAUAUCGGAAGGAACACCAGUGGCGAAAGCGGCUUCCUGGUCCAGCACCGACGUUCAGGCACGAAAGCGUGGGGAGCAAACGGG
rnacentral:rRNA from 1 species